rnacentral:rRNA from 1 species
AGGCCUCAAAUAAUGUGUGACUACCCCCUGAAUUAAGCAUA